rnacentral:tRNA from 1 species
GGAGAGUUGUCCGAGUGGUCGAAGGUGCAGCACUCGAAAUGCUGUGUCCCGAAAGGGACCUAGGGUUCGAAUCCCUAACUCUCCG